UACGUAGGGAGCAAGCGUUGUCCGGAAUCAUUGGGCGUAAAGCGCGCGUAGGCGGCCCCGUAAGUCCGCUGUGAAAGUCAAAGGCUCAACCUUUGAAAGCCGGUGGAUACUGUGGGGCUAGAGUACGGAAGAGGCGAGUGGAAUUCCUGGUGUAGCGGUGGAAUGCGCAGAUAUCAGGAGGAACACCAAUAGCGAAGGCAGCUCGCUGGGACGUUACUGACGCUGAGACGCGAAAGCGUGGGGAGCAAACAGG
rnacentral:rRNA from 1 species